GCUAAAAAUUUAGCCCCACCCAUCCGUAUAUUCCUUCCGUAUUUAUUUCUACAAACUAAAACAUUUUCUAUAUUUAGUAAAGGCGAUUAAAAAAUUUUUCUGGAGCAAUAAUUAUAGUACCGCAAGGGAAAAAAUGAAAUAAAAAUGAAAUAUUCUCAAGCAUAAAAAAGUAGAGCUAAAUCCUCGUACCUUUUGCAUCAUGAUUUAACUAGUCUAAUAAAGCAAAAAGAUUUUUAGUUUUAAUUCCCGAACCUAGACGAGCUAUCUUAGGGCAGCUUCAUGAGCGAACCCGUCUCUGUCGCAAAAGAGUGGGAAGACCCUAUAAUAGCGGUGACAGACCUAACGAGUCUAGCGAUAGCUGGUUGCUCAUAAAUAGGAUUUUAGUCCUGCUUAAAGCUUAAUUUAUACAAAAAAAUUUUCAUCUUUAAAGUUAUUCAAAUAAGGUACAGCCUAUUUGAAAAAGGAAACAACCUCAACUAUUGGGUUAUUAUUUUCUAGUCCAUGGUAAAGUAGGCUUAAAAGCAGCCACCUUAAACAAUAGCGUCAAAGCUUAACCAUCUUCUUUUAAAAAUUCCUCAACUUCUCCUCAACCCAUUUUUAUUAAAGAGCAAUUCUAUAUAUUUAUAGAAGAUUUAAUGUUAAAACUAGUAAUAAGAAGCAGACCCUUCUCUUUAAUGUAAACUUAUAUCAGCAAGGACACCCCACUGAUCUUUAACGUCCCUAAAAUUAUAGUAAAAACUUAUCAAGAAAACAUUACUCUUAUUUACGUUAACCUUACACAAGAGCAUUUUAAGAAAGAUUUAAAGGAAAAGAAGGAACUCGGCAAAUAUUAGCCCCGCCUGUUUACCAAAAACAUCGCCUCUUGACUAUUAAUAAGAGGUCCAGCCUGCCCAGUGACUCUGUUCAACGGCCGCGGUAUCCUAACCGUGCGAAGGUAGCGUAAUCACUUGUUCUUUAAAUGAGGACUAGUAUGAAUGGCCCCACGAAGGCUACACUGUCUCCUUUUCCUAAUCAAUGAAACUAAUCUUCCCGUGAAGAAGCGGGGAAUAAUAAUAUAAGACGAGAAGACCCUAUGGAGCUUUAAACUAUAGAAACACUUGCUUUAUACCUUUAACCCUCCCGAGGUUUUCCAAAUAUUUAAGCAAUAUUUAUUUCUAGUUUUAGGUUGGGGUGACCACGGAGUAAAAUUUAACCUCCAUGAUGAAAGAGACCCUCUCUUAGCUAAAAGCUACCUCUUUAAGCACCAACAAAUUGACUCUCAUUGACCCAAUUAAUUGAUCAACGAACCAAGUUACCCUAGGGAUAACAGCGCAAUCUACCUCGAGAGCUCAUAUCGACAGGUGGGUUUACGACCUCGAUGUUGGAUCAGGGUAUCCUAGUGGUGCAGCCGCUACUGAUGGUUCGUUUGUUCAACGAUUAAAACCCUACGUGAUCUGAGUUCAGACCGGAGCAAUCCAGGUCAGUUUCUAUCUAUAAAGAGUAUUUUCCAGUACGAAAGGACCGAAAAAACAUGGCCUAUACAUUAUGCAAGCC
rnacentral:rRNA from 1 species